GAUGAACGCUGGCGGCGUGCUUAAUACAUGCAAGUCGAGCGAACAGAUGAGGAGCUUGCUCCUCUGAUGUUAGCGGCGGACGGGUGAGUAACAAGUGGAUAACCUACCUAUAAGACUGGGAUAACUUCGGGAAACCGGAGCUAAUACCGGAUAAUAUUUUGAACCGCAUGGUUCAAUAGUGAAAGACGGUUUUGAUGUCACUUAUAGAUGGAUCCGCGCUGCAUUAGCGAGUUGGUAAGGUAACGGCUUACCAAGGCAACGAUGCGUAGCCGACCUGAGAGGGUGAUCGGCCACACUGGAACUGAGACACGGUCCAGACUCCUACGGGAGGCAGCAGUAGGGAAUCUUCCGCAAUGGGCGAAAGCCUGACGGAGCAACGCCGCGUGAGUGAUGAAGGUCUUCGGAUCGUAAAACUCUGUUAUUAGGGAAGAACAAAUGUGUAAGUAACUGUGCACGUCUUGACGGUACCUAAUCAGAAAGCCACGGCUAACUACGUG
rnacentral:rRNA from 1 species